rnacentral:misc_RNA from 1 species
CAGCCGCGUAAUUCCAGCUCCAAUAGCGUAUAUUAAAGUUGUUGCAGUUAAAAAGCUCGUAGUUGAAUUUCGGGAUUGGCGCAUCGGUCGUGCCUCACGGGGUAUGAACUGGUGCAGUCAAUUUCUCACCUUCUGGAGAACCGCGAUGUCCUUAAUUGGAUGCCGCGGGGAACCAGGACCUUUACUUUGAAAAAAUUAGAGUGUUUAAAGCAGGCAUUUUUGCUUGAAUACAUUAGCAUGGAAUAAUAAAAUAGGACGGCAUGGUUCUAUUUUGUUGGUUUCUAGGACCACCGUAAUGAUUAAUAGGGAUAGUUGGGGGCAUUAGUAUUCAAUUGUCAGAGGUGAAAUUCUUGGAUUUAUUGAAGACUAACUACUGCGAAAGCAUUUGCCAAGGAUGUUUUCAUUAAUCAAGAACGAAAGUUAGGGGAUCGAAGACGAUCAGAUACCGUCGUAGUCUUAACCAUAAACUAUGCCGACUAGGAAUCAGACGAUGUUAAUUUUUUAAUGACUCGUUUGGCACCUUAUG